rnacentral:rRNA from 1 species
CACGUAGGGUGCGAGCGUUGUCCGGAAUUAUUGGGCGUAAAGAGCUCGUAGGCGGUGUGUCACGUCGGCCGUGAAACCUGCAGCUUAACUGUGGGCGUGCGGUCGAUACGGGCAUCACUGGAGUUCGGCAGGGAGACUGGAAUUCCUGGUGUAGCGGUGAAAUGCGCAGAUAUCAGGAGGAACACCGGUGGCGAAGGCGGGUCUCUGGGCCGAUACUGACGCUGAGGAGCGAAAGCGUGGGGAGCGAACAGG